rnacentral:rRNA from 1 species
UACGUAGGGUCCGAGCGUUGUCCGGAUUUACUGGGCGUAAAGAGCGCGCAGGCGGUCGUUCAAGUCGCGUGUGAAAGCCCCCGGCUCAACUGGGGAGGGUCACGCGAUACUGAUCGACUCGAAGGCAGGAGAGGGAUGUGGAAUUCCAGGUGUAGCGGUGAAAUGCGUAGAUAUCUGGAGGAACACCGGUGGCGAAGGCGGCAUCCUGGACCGGUAUUGACGCUGAGGCGCGAAAGCUAGGGGAGCAAACGGG